AUCACACUCAUCACCUCUGGCAACCACUCCGAAACUAUCUCAUUUCACAUCCUUGACACUCCCCUGGCACCCAUUGUCCUCGGGCACCCUUGGCUCCUUCUCCAUAACCCCAAAGUAGACUGGUCCUCUAAUUCCAUCUUUUCUUGGUCUCGAAGAUCCUGGUGUUUGAUGUCGUGUUCGUGUUGUUCCUGCCUUGCCUUGUCGCCGUUCUGUUCGGAUCCUGUAGUCACGCUUGGAAUACACUCACCACUAUUGGAUUAUCACCGCUGUCAUCGUCGUUCAACGCACCCCACGUCUCAACUCACCAGUCUGUGCUGCCACCGUGGUUCCUGCGUUACUCUCCGACCUUUCAUCAUCAUCAUACUUCUAAUAAACUUACUCGUACUUG